CUCUCUGCUUCCCACUACUGUGCCCUGAGCUCUUGUUCCUCCGCCAUACUGCCCUGCGUGGGAGCCAGCUGACCAUGGAGUGAAGCCACUACAAACGAUUUGGGAUGCCCUACUGAGGUCCUGAGUCACACAGAAUAUGCUGAAUCAGCCUGCUGCAGAAAGGCAGGUCUGCCCAUGCCCUACCAGGUCCCAAGUCAAACGGAAGACACCAAUCACCCCGCUGCAGGCAGGCAGCCACCUGGUUCCACACUACAAAGACGCAGAGGACACCAGACCACCAGACCAAGGUAACGAAGCAUAAGUGUGAAGAGACAAUGUCUCUUCU
ensembl:lncRNA